rnacentral:rRNA from 1 species
AUGGGGAUCUGCGCGUCAUCGGAGCACCUCGCCCAGCAGGGGCAGGAGGCGGACGAGAGCAUCGUCUAUGUCAUGGACGAGGAAGGAGGAGGCGGCGCGUCGUCGCCGAGGAAGGUGGCCUCCCUCUUCUCCCAGAAGGGCAAGAAAGGCCCCAACCAGGACGCCGUCAUCCUCUGCCAGGGAUUCGGCAUGGAGGGCGGCGUGUUCUGCGGCGUGUUCGACGGCCACGGCAGGUGCGGCCACUUGGUGAGCAAGCUGGUGAGGGACUACCUCCCCUUCAUGGUCCUGAGCCACCGGAACGCGCUGCUCCUGGCGGACGCGGACGCGGACGCCGACGACCCCGUGUUCAGCGACGCCUCGCCGUCGUCCUCCGCGGACAGCAGCGGCAACUCGUCGCCGCACCCGUCGCAGAUGCUGGGGGAGUGGAGGGAGGCCUGCACCAAUGCGUUCAAGGCCAUGGACAACGAGCUCAAGCUGCAGGCCAACAUGGACUGCAACUUCAGCGGCACCACGGCAGUGUGUGCCAUCAAGCAGGGCAAGGAUCUGAUCAUUGCCAACCUCGGAGACUCGAGGGCGGUUCUUGCGACCAUGUCUGGGGCCGGCUACCUCAAGGCCGUACAGCUCACCACCGACCAGAAGCCCGGCCUGCCUGAGGAGGCGGAGAGGAUCAAGAGGUGCGAGGGGCGCGUGUUCGCGCUGAGGGAGGAGCCGGGCGUGAUGCGGGUGUGGCUGCCCGGCGAGAACCUCCCGGGGCUGGCCAUGGCGCGCGCGCUGGGGGACUCGAGGCUGAAGCACCACGGGGUCAUCUCGACGCCGCAGGUGACGGGGCACCGGAUAGGCGACGCGGACCUGUUCAUCAUCCUGGCCACGGACGGGGUGUGGGACGUGCUGAGCAACGAGGAGGUGGUGUCCAUCGUGUGCGCCACGCCGCGGAAGCAGCACGCGUCCAAGGCCGUGGUGGAGGCGGCGGUGCAGAGGUGGAAGACCAAGUACCCGUCCUCACGGGUGGACGACUGCUCCGCGGUCUGCCUCUUCCUGCACGACCACGGCGCGUCGGCGCCGCAGCGGCCAGGAAGCUCUAGCUAG